UGGGCUUGACAUGGUGCUGCAAGCGCACGGAAACGUGUGACCUUCGAGGGUGCACCACAGAUGCUGCAUGGCUGUCGUCAGCUCGUGUCGUGAGAUGUUGGGUUAAGUCCCGCAACGAGCGCAACCCCCGUGGCGUGUUGCCAGCAUUAAGUUGGGGACUCACGCCAGACUGCCGGUGACAAACCGGAGGAAGGUGGGGAUGACGUUUACGUGCACUU
rnacentral:misc_RNA from 1 species